UUCCUCUCCUCACACAGCCAUGCUUCUAAUGAUGAAAGCUAUUUGAAGCCAAACGGGAGAUACUGCUUCAAAAUCACAGCCAUAUUUCUCCCAAGAGGAGAAAAAACAAGUAGACAGAAGUUGAGGAACUUAGCUCCAUCAAAGAGACAACUAGUAACUCCUUUCACAUCCUCUGCUGCUGGUGUUCCCUGAAACCAGAACAUUUGGAUUAUAAGCCCAGCGACCAGGCUCUGACUACAAUGCUGUUCAGUUUCUUGCCCAUCACUUUGAAAGGGGAGCGGGGAGACUGCUGUGAGUGAAGAGCUUUGAAAAGUAUAAAGCAUCUUUAAAACUGUGCAAUACCACUACUCGGUCUGCAUUCCAAAUAGAUUUUUAAAAAGAGGAUAGGACUUUAUUGUACAAAAAUAUUUCCAGCAGCUCUUUUCUUGUGGUGGCACGGAAUAAGAAACCGAGGCAAUGCCCAUCAACUGGGGAAUGGCUGGACAAGGGUGGUAUAUGAGGGGGAUGGAAUAUUAUCAUGCUCUAAGACCUAAAUGAAAUGACGCAAAGAGAACAUGACGAAGAGAACAGAACUGGGAGAACAUUGUACACAAAACAGCAAUAUUAUAUGAUAAACAUUUAAAUGACUUCGUUUCCUAGCAAUACAAUGACCAAGAAAAUCCUCAAGGUCUCAUGAGGAAAAAUUCCAUCUGCUUCCAGAGAAAGAAUGGAUAAGAGUCUGAAGGUUUUACUACAAGAGGGUCCUUCAGGGAAGGAGCGUGUUUGUUCUCCAUCCACCAGAAAUCAAGCUGCUUCCCCUUCUCAGAGAGAACAAAACCAUUCCAGUUCCCUUCAGAAUCAACAAAGAUCUGUCUUGAUCAGCCUGGCUGAGCAUGAGUAAGACUUUCUGGGCAUCAUAAGCUUUAUUUCAAACUGAAAUAAACGCCUUAACAACAGUC